CGCCAUCUAUGAGUCAAUGGAAAAUCUUUCCAAUCAACUACUUGUACGCUAAUGGCGUAAUGUAUAAUUGGAAUUGAAUUAUUUCUGGAUUUACAAAGAAAAACAGCAAGACUUGCCGCAGCCAAAAGUAUAUCAACCGCUUUUAUAGCUUCGCAAAAGAAAGAAUCAUCAUCCUGGACAAUCAAGAACCAAUGGAUCAGAUUUUCUUUCACCAAAACAUUUUUGUAUGCAUUGAAAAAGAAGUCAAAGUUACUUCUAUGAAAGAAUUACGAAACUUCUUAAUUUCUGUUAUCGUAUUUUGUUGGAGAUAGUUCUUGAUCGAUAAAAAAAGAGGCUAUACGCGAAGCGUGUGACGUACAGUAUGAAGAAAAGAAUUGUGAAGCUGUGACAGAUGAAUGUCCAAAAAAUAAUCUUUUAUAGGACCAAAUCUUUCUGUAAUAAUUGGAGCAUUUAAACCCGCAAAAAUUGUCGAAGAAAGGUUGCUCAUUACUGUCUACACAAUAUAAUAAACCUCAAGCAAUACCCAAGGAAAGACUACUAUAUACUUUGUGUCUGUGUGCGUGGGUGUGUAUAUUAUGUAUCUAGUUAUGUACAUAUGUAUCUAUUUACAAACGUAUGUUUAUAUGGGAUCUUCCAACAUUCCACCUUGGUGGUUGCCGAAAGACUGAUCUCAUACGAUAUUCGACAGAAAGUAAAUAACAUAAGGUGUAUUUAGAUAUUUCACCUUAUAUAGAAACAUAUAAACAUUGUAAUAAUUUUUGCUUUGUAUAUGUCAGCUAGUAAAUGGUAUAAACAUUCUCUUUUUCUUUCAGUGUAAUAAUAUUAUAUAUAUAUAUAUAUAUAUAUAUAUAUAUUAAAAUUUUUAUAAUUUAAUUAGUUAAUUAAUCAAAAUCAAAAAAUAAAAGAAAGCAACAGGAAUAGAAAAAUACGAGACCUCAUCGAAAACUCCGUUUGUUAGAAAACAAUGUACUUUCAUCUCUCUCUCUCUCUCUCUCUCUCUCUCUCUUCCUCGCUCUGUUUUGCUAUUUUUUUCUUAAUUUUUCUGUAUGCACGUGUACGCGUAUGUACGUAAUACGUAUAUGCCUUUUAACAAAUGUAAUAUCGUUUGGUAUCGAUAUAUUUUAUAUAUAGAAAGAUCGUCGACGAUCGAACGUGAUGCGUGUACCUGAUCGUGACACCCUUAUUUCAAUAUUGUAAAUUUAAUUUGUCAACGAGGUAUAAAUUCUAUAUUCAUUUAAAUACACAUACCUUGAUAUGUGUAUGAAUAAUGCAUAUUAAUCAUAAUACGCAUUAAAUGACACGUUUAAAUGAAAUCCCACAUUAAAAUUUACAUUGUACUAGAUACAUAUACUACAUAAGAACAAGAAAGCAAAAUUGAAUAUACCAAGAUACUUUAUUCUUCUUCUUCUUCUUCUUCUGCAUAUUAUUGUUGUUGUUAUUAUUGU